GACGAACGCUGGCGGCGUGCUUAACACAUGCAAGUCGAACGGAAAGGCCCUGCUUUUGUGGGGUGCUCGAGUGGCGAACGGGUGAGUAACACGUGAGUAACCUGCCCUUGACUUUGGGAUAACUUCAGGCAACUGGGGCUAAUACCGGAUAGGAGCUCCUGCUGCAUGGUGGGGGUUGGAAAGCUUCGGCGGUUGGGGAUGGACCCGCGGCUUAUCAGCUUGUUGGUGGGGUAGUGGCUUACCAAGGCCUUGACGGGUAGCCGGCCUGAGAGGGUGACCGGCCACAUUGGGACUGAGAUACGGCCCAGACUCCUACGGGAGGCAGCAGUGGGGAAUAUUGCACAAUGGGCGGAAGCCUGAUGCAGCAACGCCGCGUGCGGGAUGACGGCCUUCGGGUUGUAAACCGCUUUCGCCUGUGACGAAGCGUGAGUGACGGUAAUGGGUAAAGAAGCACCGGCUAACUACGUG
rnacentral:rRNA from 1 species